AUUGAACGCUGGCGGCAUGCCUUACACAUGCAAGUCGAACGGCAGCACGGGAGCAAUCCUGGUGGCGAGUGGCGAACGGGUGAGUAAAGUAUCGGAACGUGCCCAGUCGUGGGGGAUAACGUAGCGAAAGUUACGCUAAUACCGCAUACGAUCUAUGGAUGAAAGCGGGGGAUCGCAAGACCUCGCGCGAUUGGAGCGGCCGAUAUCAGAUUAGGUAGUUGGUGGGGUAAAGGCUCACCAAGCCGACGAUCUGUAGCUGGUCUGAGAGGACGACCAGCCAAACUGGGACUGAGAAACGGCCCAGACUCCUACGGGAGGCAGCAGUGGGGAAUUUUGGACAAUGGGCGAAAGCCUGAUCCAGCCAUGCCGCGUGCAGGAUGAAGGCCUUCGGGUUGUAAACUGCUUUUGUACGGAACGAAAAGGUUUGGCCUAAUAAGCUGAGCUCAUGACGGUACCGUAAGAAUAAGCACCGGCUAACUACGUGCCAGCCGCCCCGUAA
rnacentral:rRNA from 1 species